rnacentral:rRNA from 1 species
UACGAAGGGGGCUAGCGUUGCUCGGAAUUACUGGGCGUAAAGGGCGCGUAGGCGGAUGUUUAAGUCGGGGGUGAAAGCCCGGGGCUCAACCCCGGAAUUGCCUUCGAUACUGGACAUCUUGAGUACGGGAGAGGUGAGUGGAACUCCGAGUGUAGAGGUGAAAUUCGUAGAUAUUCGGAAGAACACCAGUGGCGGAAGGCGACUCACUGGCCCGUUACUGACGCUGAGGCGCGAAAGCGUGGGGAGCAAACAGGG